AGUGAACGCUGGCGGUAGGCCUAACACAUGCCAGUCGAACGGCAGCACAGUAAGAGCUUGCUCUUACGGGUGGCGAGUGGCGGACGGGUGAGGAAUACAUCGGAAUCUACUUUUUCGUGGGGGAUAACGUAGGGAAACUUACGCUAAUACCGCAUACGACCUACGGGUGAAAGCAGGGGAUCUUCGGACCUUGCGCGAUUGAAUGAGCCGAUGUCGGAUUAGCUAGUUGGCGGGGUAAAGGCCCACCAAGGCGACGAUCCGUAGCUGGUCUGAGAGGAUGAUCAGCCACACUGGAACUGAGACACGGUCCAGACUCCUACGGGAGGCAGCAGUGGGGAAUAUUGGACAAUGGGCGCAAGCCUGAUCCAGCCAUACCGCGUGGGUGAAGAAGGCCUUCGGGUUGUAAAGCCCUUUUGUUGGGAAAGAAAAGCAGCAGGUUAAUACCCCGCUGUUCUGACGGUACCCAAAGAAUAAGCACCGGCUAACUUAGUG
rnacentral:rRNA from 1 species